rnacentral:lncRNA from 1 species
AAGCUGAGUUCAGGAAGUAUGGUGUAGAGUUUGUCAGUCGCCCUCUGCCCUGACUUUUUUUUUAGCAGUUCCUCACUCCUUUCUGCCUCCUCCCUCUCAGGAUGAGCCUUAAGGAGCCAGGUGCUGAUCUCAUUGUCUCUAGGGCAAUCUUGUUUUCAGGAGACAGUUUCAGCCACUAACUUGUAAAGGCCCCAUGAGGAACAAUUCCCAACUACUGCAAUUCAGCAUGAGGAGUUCAUGACUGGAUGGCAAGUGCUGAUCUAGAAGUUCCAUGACCUCAGGUAACCUCAACACCAUCAGGAUGUUCCAGGAAAUGAAAGAGAGCUCUAUUUUGAAGGAAAUAAUUCUUACUUUUACUGAGAAGGAGUAGUUCAUUAAACACAAAAAACACAAUUUACAUUAGCAGUGCUACACCAUUUUUUCUCUCUGAUCAAAAUCUUGGGACCUUUUGCUGUCUGAUUAAUUUUGUCAGAAGUGCAGUUAGUAAGAUCCCUCUUUGAGUUUGGAGUUAGCCCAGCCAGGUGAAAUGAUCAGAGACCUAUGAACAAACACAUGGAUGCUAUUUGGGGAUUCAGUAAACACACUGGGGAAGGUUGUGAUUCCACAAGCAGAUUGCCUGGGUUCAAAUCCUACCUAGUCCAGUGCCUGUAGCUGGGUGACAGUGAGAAAAUGGUUAGCUCUCAAAGCCUCAUUUUCUUAUAUAUAUGAGCUAUUUUGAGAAUUAAAUAGUACAUAGAUCCUUGACAUGUGAUAGACAGCCAGUAAACAUUAGCCUUUGUUCUUCUUGGCCAUUCUAAGAUUAUGGCUUCUCAGUACCUGCAGGAGGCGGCCAGUGUUCCUGGCACAGGUGAGGGGUAAAUGAUUGCAGUAACAGGCUUCAUUUAGGAGAAUAAUGAGCCUUUUGUUAUCCUUAACUUGUCCAACUGUCACAGCUCUUGCCCUCCCCGGAGAAUGUUUCUGUCAAAAUCUUUUAUCCUCAGGGAUUCAUGACUCAGCAGAUUUUUCUGGAAUUGCCAUUCAGAAGCUCUGACACCCAGCAAACAAAACAAAACACAAGCUGUUCCUCCACCAGUCAAACAGAAUCCACCUUUCAAGUUGAAUUGCUAUGGAAAUUUGAACUUUUAUUUUUUUGCCUUAAAAGUUUAAGGUGAGCAGCUCAGAAAGUGGGCUUGAAAUUGGGUAGAAAGGAAAUUAAUCUGAUUUGUUUACUGAGUGCUAAUUGGCUUGAGCUCAGGGGCCACCUCACCCCACUGCCUUUCCAGGACACCUCUGAGACUUACUCUUGGGGGAAUGUAAAGUCUUGCCAAGUCUUCUGGGAUUCUAUUCUCAGCAGAUUACAGUGACAUUACUUGCUUUUUACUGCAUGUAUUUUUGUCCUAUAGAGUCAUUUACUUUUAAUGCUUUCUCCUGGCAAAAAAAGAGAAUUUUUUAUCGUUCUAAUUUGUUAUAUAUGACAGCAGAAUGCAUUACAAUUCAUAUUACACACAUAGAGCACGAUUUUUCAUCUCUGGUUGUAUACAAAGUAUAUUCACAGCAUUUGUGUCUUCAUACAUGUACUUAGGGUAAUGAGGUCCAUCUCAUUCCACCAUCUUUUUUACCCCCAUGCCCCUUCCCUUCCCCUCCCACCCCUUUGCCCCAUCUAGAGUUCAUCUAAUCCUCCCAUGCUCCCCCUCCCAACCCCACUAUGAGUCAGCCUCCUUAUAUCAGAGAAAACAUUUGGCAUUUGGUUUUUUAGGAUUGGCUAACUUCACUUAACAUUAUAUUCUCCAACACCAUCCAUUUACCUGCAAAUGCCAUGAUUUUAUUCUCUUUAUUGCUGAGUAAUAUUCCAUUAUGUACAUAUACCACAUUGUCGUUAUCCGUUCAUCUUUUGAAGGGCAUCUAGGUUGGUUCCACAGUUUAGCUAUUGUGAAUUGUGCUGCAAUAAACAUUGAUAUGGCUGUGUCCCUGUAGUAUGCUGUUUUUAAGUCAUUUGCGUAUAAACCGAGGAGUGGAUAGCUGGGUCAAAUGGUGGUUCCAUUCCCAGUUUUCCAAGGAAUCUCCAUACUGCUUUCCACGUUGGCUACUCCAAUUUGUAGUCACACCAGCAAUGUAUGAGUGUGCCUUUUUCUCCCCAUCCUCACCAACACUUAUUGUUGCAUUAUGAGUUUUUUGUCUUAAUUAGAAAGGAC